rnacentral:lncRNA from 1 species
GAGAGGCCUCUGAGAAGUUCCUAUCUAUCCUAAUCCACCUGAGGAUCCAAUUUGAUCCUUAUAUUUUAAAACAUAAUAACUGACUUCUCUUCUGAAACUUUCUUUUUCAGGGCUCCAUUUGGGUGAAAUGCUCUUAGAUUCUAAUUUUGUUUUCCAACAUUUGCUUAUCUUCCCCUUGAAUUUGGUGUCAUCUCCAGUAAAAUUUUUUGACAUCUUCAAGAAAACAGAAUUUGAUCCUUCAUAGACAAAGUAUUAAUCUUUUAAGGUCUUCUUUUAGAUAUUUUCUCCGUAACUUAAUUUGUUCUCACUAUUGUGCAAUUGUUCUCUAUACCAAGCAGCUAUAGACUGUUAGUGGCACAUCACCUUCCCAGGUAGCUCUUUCUUAUAAUGAAAAGACACGUAGGUUGAGUUUGCGGGGGGAAAAAUCUAGAACAGUUCCUUCAGUCCCCCUGAAAGAGAUCAGGCCAGUUGUCUUGCUGAGCAACCCUAUACUCCCGUUAUUUGAUUCUUUCUCAUGGCUGCCUUUUUGGAAGGAACUAUUGAUGAAGGAAGCUAUUCUUUGUGUAAGAAUGUCAGUCAGUAAACAAGGAAGAUAGAAGUAGGAACUCAGUAUUCUGCUACUUCCUAUGAAAUAACUAUUGAAGGCAAAGAUAUGAACACAAUUAGCAGAAAGGUUU